AUACGGAGGAUCCGAGCGUUAUCCGGAUUUAUUGGGUUUAAAGGGUGCGCAGGCGGAAGAUUAAGUCGGCGGUGAAAUUUUGCAGCUCAACUGUAAAAGUGCCUUCGAAACUGGUUUUCUUGAGUGUAGAUGAAGUAGGCGGAAUUUGUGGUGUAGCGGUGAAAUGCAUAGAUAUCACGCAGAACUCCGAUUGCGAAGGCAGCUUACUAAGCUACAACUGACACUGAAGCACGAAAGCGUGGGGAUC
rnacentral:rRNA from 1 species